rnacentral:rRNA from 1 species
GAUACCUACGGGAGGCAGCAGUGGGGAAUAUUGCACAAUGGGGGAAACCCUGAUGCAGCGACGCCGCGUGAGUGAAGAAGUAUUUCGGUAUGUAAAGCUCUAUCAGCAGGGAAGAAGCAAGACGGUACCUGACUAAGAAGCCCCGGCUAACUACGUGCCAGCAGCCGCGGUAAUACGUAGGGGGCAAGCGUUAUCCGGAUUUACUGGGUGUAAAGGGAGCGUAGACGGUAUGGCAAGUCUGAAGUGAAAGCCCAG